GAGGAGCGGGGAGGCUGGUUAGACCUGGCCCAGACCUCAGCUACACAAGCUGAUGGACUGAGUCAGGGGCCAAACUCUCCCUCCUC
ensembl:miRNA MIR631 microRNA 631